UACCGUAAGAAUAAGCACCGGCUAACUUCGUGCCAGCAGCCGCGGUAAUACGAAGGGUGCAAGCGUUAAUCGGAAUUACUGGGCGUAAAGCGUGCGUAGGCGGUUGUGUAAGUCUGACGUGAAAUCCCUGGGCUCAACCUGGGAAUUGCGAUUGAAACUG
rnacentral:rRNA from 1 species